UACAAACCAACUAUCGUCCCCUUCCCUC
rnacentral:piRNA from 1 species